UACGUAGGUCGCAAGCGUUGUCCGGAUUUACUGGGCGUAAAGAGCGCGCAGGCGGCUGGUCAAGUCCGAUGUGAAAUCUCCCGGCUCAACUGGGAAACUGCAUCGGAAACUGAUCGGCUUGAAGAUGGGAGAGGGUAGUGGAAUUCCCGGUGUAGUGGUGAAAUGCGUAGAUAUCGGGAGGAACACCAGUGGCGAAGGCGACUACCUGGCCCAUUCUUGACGCUGAGGCGCGAAAGCUAGGGGAGCCGAACGGG
rnacentral:rRNA from 1 species